CCUACGGGAGGCUGCAGUGGGGAAUAUUGCUCAAUGGGGGAAACCCUGAUGCAGCAACGCCGCGUGAGGGAAGAAGGAUUUCGGUAUGUAAAGCUCUAUCAGCAGGGGAGAAGAUGACGGUACCUGAGUAAGAAGCCCCGGCUCACUACGUGCCAGCAGCCGCGGACAUACGUAGGGAGCAAGCGUUAUCCGGAUUUAAGGGGUGUAAAGGGAGCGUAGACGGGAGGACAAGUCUGAAGUGAAAGCCCGGGGCUCAACCCCGGGACUGCUUUGGAAACUGCCUGACUGGAGUGCUGGAGAGGCAAGCGGAAUGCGUGGUGUAGCGGUGAAAUGCGUAGAUAUUAGGAAGAACACCAGUGGCGAAGGCGGCUUGCUGGACAGUAACUGACGUUGAGGCUCGAAAGCGUGGGGAGCAAACAGGAUUAGAUACCCGAGUAGUC
rnacentral:rRNA from 1 species